AUUGAACGCUGGCGGCAGGCCUAACACAUGCAAGUCGAGCGAGCGGCGGACGGGUGAGUAAUAUAUCGGAACGUGCCCAGUAGCGGGGGAUAACUACUCGAAAGAGUGGCUAAUACCGCAUACUAUUGGAGCGGCCGAUAUCGGAUUAGCUAGGUGGUGGGGUAAAGGCUCACCAAGGCAACGAUCCGUAGCUGGUUUGAGAGGACGACCAGCCACACUGGGACUGGGACACGGCCCAGACUCCUACGGGAGGCAGCAGUGGGGAAUUUUGGACAAUGGGCGCAAGCCUGAUGCAGCCAUGCCGCGUGUGUGAAGAAGGCUUCGGGUUGUAAAGCACUUUCAGCGAGGAGGCGUUACUCGCAGAAGAAGCACCGGCUAACUCCGUGCCAGCAGCCGCGGUAAUUC
rnacentral:rRNA from 1 species